AGCUCCGCCGUGGCUCGGAGGAGAGCUGCACCAGCUCAAGAACCCUCGGAGGGGAGCCGCGACCGGCGUAGAAGGCAACUCUUCCAGGGGCCGCGGCGGUCACCUGGGAGCCCCGCGGGGACCCGACGUGCCCGAGGGGAGCUCCCGGACGCUGGGCUGCGGCUGCGGCGCGGGGCGGCGCUGCGGGGCCCGGAUCCCACGAGACCUGGGACACCCGGGACGGAGGCGUGGCCCCGUCACCCUGCGCGGUUUCUGGUGGACCAAGGCGGGAAGCCGGUGCGUUUCUAAGCAGUCGCCACCCCAACUUCUCUCAGCUCGAAUUCAGCCUCCAAGUUGCAGGCACCGGAAAGACUACCUCGACGAGGAGGGCAUCUGCCCCUGACUGUGGUGGGGUUUGCUCAGGGGCUUAGAAGGCACCGGGGACUGACCCAACCAGCCCGGGGAGGACUGGCAGGCGCCUGAGAAAGCCGCAGGGCGCGGGCCGCCGUCGGGGUUCGGAGGCGAGGGGGCUGUGCUCGAUUCGUAGAUCCCGAGGCCCUGAGCUUAUCUCAUGGGCUGUCUGCUCAUCCACCAGGUGUCCCACGCCUGAUCCCCGGCACCCCUUGGGGCGACUUCUGUGCAAACUUCUGAUUCUGUUUCGCAAGAUUCCCUUCUUCUUCCCGGAAAGGUUGGGACGAGCUGCAGGUGCUAGCCUUGCACAUCGCGGACCAGUUGUCUCCGAGGAGAGGUGCACCUAGAAGAGGACAAUGGCAGGGCCGGGAUCAGAGCUGCCUUCUGGCCCUGUGGCCCCCAUGCUCCUGUCAUGGCUAACAGGACUAGGGGCUGGAAUGGUCUUCCUGAGCUUCAUGCAGAAACUCCUGUACCCUUACUUCUGGGACGACUUCUGGUACCUGCUGAAGGUGGUACGCUGUGGAUUUCGGAUGGAGAUGUACAGACUGAAAGGGGAGCUCGUCACUGUCCUGGAUAAAUUCCUGAUGCAUGCCAAGAAGCAGCCUCAGAAACCUUUCAUCAUCUAUGAGGGAGACAUCUACACCUAUCAGGAUGUGGACAAGAGGAGUAGUAGAGUGGCCCAUGUCUUCCUGAACCACUCCACGCUGAAAAGGGGCGAUACCGUGGCUCUGCUGAUGAGCAAUGAGCCCGAUUUCAUUCACGUGUGGUUCGGCCUGGCCAAGCUGGGCUGCGUGGUGGCCUUCCUCAACUCCAACAUUCGCUCCGUCUCCCUCCUGCAUUGCAUCCGCAGCUGUGAGCCCAGGGCCCUCGUGGUGGGUGCAGAUUUGCUUGGAACUAUAGAGGAGAUCCUUCCGAGCCUCCCAGGAGAUAUCAGUGUUUGGGCAAUGAAAGAGCCUGUUCCGGAAGGCAUAAUUUCACUCAAAGAAAAACUGAGCACAGCAUCUGACAGCCAGGUGCCACACAGCCACCAUGUUGCCUCAAACCUCAAGGCUCCUUAUCUUUAUAUUUUCACUUCUGGAACAACAGGUCUCCCAAAAGCAGCUGUGAUUUGUCAGCUGCAGGCUAUGAAGGGUUCUGCUGGAUUAUGGGCUUUUGGUUGUACUUCCGAUGACAUCAUUUAUAUAACCCUUCCUCUGUAUCAUAGUUCAGGAUCUCUCCUGGGAAUUGGUGGAUGUAUUGAGUUAGGUGCUACUUGUGUGUUAAAGAAGAAAUUUUCAGCAAGCCAAUUUUGGAACGACUGCAGAAAGUACAAUGUGACUGUGUUUCAGUACAUUGGAGAACUUUGUCGCUACCUUUGCAAACAACCUAAGAGAGAAGGAGAAAUGGAUCAUCGGGUACGUUUGGCAGUUGGAAAUGGCAUACGGAGUGACGUAUGGAGAGAAUUUUUAGACAGAUUUGGAAAUAUUAAGAUGUGUGAGCUUUAUGGAGCUACUGAAGGAAACAUUUGUUUCAUGAAUCACACUGGGAAAAUUGGAUCAGUUGGGAGAGCGAAUUUCCUUCACAAACUUUUUUUCACUUUUGACUUGAUAAAGUAUGAUUUUCAGAAAGAUGAACCCAUUAGAAAUGAACACGGCUGGUGUAGUCUUGUGAAAAAAGUGAAUGCAAAGAAUCCCUUCUUUGGCUAUGCUGGAAAUAAGAAGCACACAGAAAAGAAAUUGCUUUGUGAUGUUUUUAAGAAGGGAGAUGUUUACUUUAACACCGGAGAUUUAAUGGUCCAAGACCAGGAGAAUUUCCUUUAUUUUUGGGACCGUAUUGGAGACACUUUCAGAUGGAAAGGGGAAAAUAUUGCAACCACAGAGGUUGCCGAUAUUAUUGGAAUGUUGGAUUUCAUACAGGACAUAAAUGUCUAUGGUGUGGCUGUACCAGAUUAUGAAGGAAAAGCAGGAAUGGCUUCUAUAACUUUAAAACCAAAUACGUCUUUAGACUUGGAAAAAGUUUAUGAACAAAUUGUAACAUUUUUACCGGCUUAUGCCUGCCCACAAUUUUUAAGAAUUCAGGAAAAGAUGGAAACAACAGGAACAUUCAAACUACAGAAGUUUCGGUUGGUGGAAGAAGGAUUUAGUCCAUUGAAAAUUUCUGAUCCACUUUACUUCAUGGAUAAGUUGAAAAAAUCAUACGUUCCAUUGACCAAAGAAAUUUAUGAUCAGAUAAUAUUAGGGAAGAUUAAACUUUAAGCUUUUAUUAUAUAUGGGAUUUUCCUAUGCUGCUUAGGAGAAGUGAAAGGAGAGUAUGUGAUUCUUUAAUAUGAGAUGGGGAGAGGGAACUGACAUUAAGCAUGUGCUAUAUUUCCUUAACAUGCAACAAUUUUUCUUUAAUUAAGUACUAACUUUAAUUUGUUUUAAUUGAUAACAAACUCUGGGUGAUUAUUUUUACCUAUUUGGGAUUCAGUGCAUAAGUAAAUAUCGGCCUUAACGUUUUUAAAUAAUUAAUAAGUGGUUAACAAUUUAGACAUCUGCUAAAAAUUUACUUAUUAAUAUUUAAAAUUUCUAGUUUUGAGUAAAGGGUUAAAUUUUAAUCAAAUAUUUGAUUUUUAUGUGCCCUGUCCUAUAACUGAAUAAAACCAUCUGUAUUAAUACGAGUUUUGAAGUUUUGUUUUGAUGUUUUUAAUUGUAAAUAUUAAUUCAAAGGAAGGUGACUAACUAAAUGUAUAUGCUCCUGUCUCCCUUAUCCGAAACUCACAUUAAGAUGCUAGAAGAAAUGUAAAAAUAUGAAACAACAAAGCACGAAAACUGUGAGGUGAGAGAGUGAAAGUAUGAUUGCAUUUCUCAGUCAACACAACCUGACCUUGUGAAGAGUGAUGCUUCCUCCUCUUCAUCAAACUACUGCAGGAAGACCUUAUUGCCACAGUCCCCAGCCUCCAACAAGAGACAUGGUUCUCAAGGCCAGAUUGUUUGUGAAUUACGUCUGGAAUAGGAAGAGCAGCCAAGCGACUACUAUGGCUUCAUUGUGCACGAUGAAUGAGAACAAGGAAUGCGUUAUCAGUAAUGGGUGGGUCAAAGAUAAACUUGUGCUGACCCCGAGCUGCCAGAUGUGGAAAUGGGAAUAGGUGCAGAUGAUGAAUAGGGGAUGGCAAUGCUUUAGCAAGAAGCCUCCUCAUCUUUAAAUCAGGAUGUCUAGGAAAGCCACCCUACCAGGGCUGUCACAUGAAAGUGAAUUCAAGAAAGAAGCAAAUUCUGAUGUGGGAAGUGAAUAGAACAUUCCAUGUGGCUCCUUCCACCAGAAGACCUUUCAAUCAGGUGCAGCUGUGGAACCUGAGAGGGAGACAGUGGCCAUACUGCAAUGCCCUCUCCUUCUGCUCAACCAAGAAGAUAUCCCAUUUGUAUUCCAGGCAGCAAACUCACCUGGGAGGAACCCCUUUAUUGAAAAAUGAGCCAGACUCAGCAAUGCACAGAAACUUCCUGAUGAGAUAUGUGGAAAUUCUAAAAUACAAAAUAGAAUAAAUUAUAAACACCUUUCUGUCUUCAAAAUAUGAUCAUGAACAACUGUCUGAUCCUACAAGAAGCCCGAACUCCCUUCAAUCUUAUUCACUGAUUGAAUACAUUGAUGAAUUGAUGAAAAAUUCAAACAAUUCAAUUUUAUAUUAAUGUGAGUUUGAAUAAGAUUAUGAGUGACACUCACAGCUGGAUGCACCAGCAAUUAACUGUAAGAUCUUUGGUGAUGUUGUAAUCAAAUAAUAAUAAUAAAUCCUAGCAAUAAUGUUCUGCUAGAUGUCUCUACUAAGUGAUCUCUAAGGUCUCCUCUGGUCAUAAAAU